GAGGUUAUAGCUCAGUAGUAAAGUGUGUGCUUAGCAUGCAUGGUCCUGGGUUCAAUCCCCAGUACCUCCA
rnacentral:tRNA from 1 species